UGGCGAGUGGCGGACGGGUGAGUAAUGCAUCGGGACCUGCCCAGACGUGGGGGAUAACGUAGGGAAACUUACGCUAAUACCGCAUACGUCCUACGGGAGAAAGCGGGGGAUCGAAAGACCUCGCGCGGUUGGAUGGACCGAUGUUCGAUUAGCUAGUUGGUGAGGUAAUGGCUCACCAAGGCGACGAUCGAUAGCUGGUCUGAGAGGAUGAUCAGCCACACUGGGACUGAGACACGGCCCACACUCCUACGGGAGGCAGCAGUGGGGAAUAUUGGACAAUGGGCGCAAGCCUGAUCCAGCAAUGCCGCGUGUGUGAAGAAGGCCUUCGGGUUGUAAAGCACUUUUAUCAGGAGCGAAAUACCACGGGUUAAUACCCUAUGGGGCUGACGGUACCUGAGGAAUAAGCACCGGCUAACUUCGUGCCAGCAGCCGCGGUAAUACGAAGGGUGCAAGCGUUAAUCGGAAUUACUGGGCGUAAAGCGUGCGUAGGCGGUUUGUUAAGUCUGUUGUGAAAUCCCCGGGCUCAACCUGGGAAUGGCAAUGGAUACUGGCAAGCUAGAGUGUGAUAGAGGAUGGUGGAAUUCCCGGUGUAGCGGUGAAAUGCGUAGAGAUCGGGAGGAACAUCAGUGGCGAAGGCGGCC
rnacentral:rRNA from 1 species